GUCUUCAUUGUGGUGGUUGUUUUCCAAUUUGAAAAUGGCGUCGCCUCAAACCGCAACGAAUCUCACGAGUGUUCAAGUGCGGCCAGAUUAUCAGCACUAUGGGCUCGCGAUCCGCAACUACAUCAAGGGACGGAAAUCCGAUUGCGUCUUGGUAUGCGGGAAUCGGGCCUUCAACCUUCAUCGCUCCGUGUUGUAUUCGUCCACGGGAUUGAUCCAAGGGAAAUCAUGAGACGUUCCAACAGGGACCCGAUUGUCGUCGAAAGAGGUUCACCGGUCUGAUCGAGCAAUGCCUGUCCGUGAUCUACAGAGGACAGGGUAUCUUCACUUGCGAGCAGUUGCCACUGUUCUAUCGGAUGGCCACCGCUAUUCAGUUGAAAUUGGGCGUGGCAUAUCACUCUCUCCAAAAUCCGUCAGACAUCCCUAUGAGUAUUUUCAAACCCUCGACUGAAGCACAAGAGAAUAAUGAGUCUACUCCUGCUGCCAAUUGCUCUGGCCAGAAUACUUCAAUCGAUCGACCUGCUUUGGCGCGGUUGGACGUCAAUUUAGGCCCAGGCGACCCUGAUUGAUGACCCAAGUGACUUAACGGGAGAGGGAACUAGUCAUGCUCGUCGUUGAAGCUCCUACUAGUUAGGAGAGGAAAAGGUGUCCCAUAGAAAUUCGAAAGAAGGCAAUGGCAUACCCGAAGAAAACCAAUCAAUCUGAAAAUUGGCAACGACAAUUGAUUUGAGCUCAUUUCAACUUCUGACAGCCGGCCGUCCGGUCAACCAUGCUCUUUAGGGGAAGAAUAUAAGUAGAGAAAUCAUACUUAGUGAAAAAAACACAUGGGAUUAUAUGGUCACCACGUCGGAUAAACAUGUAGUCAGUGAGGCUGGAAAGAAAGUUGAUGGGUCCUUAUGAACUUUUAACCUAAAAUUGCCCACGUUGGCCUAAAACAUUAAAAGAACGGUAGUGUUCGAAUUGUAUUGGCAUAUCCUCCUUAACAUUUCCUUUAAGCUCAAUGAUAACCUGUACUAACGAUAUUCCCAAGAUAUAAUGCUCGAAGUUUGGAAUGCUCGGACUUUAAUUACCUUGACAAGAAGGGGGUUGCAAAAUGCAUAUUCAACAUGUUACCCUAUCCAAAUAACCUACUUUUUAGUUAUCAGUCCGUCCACAUAUGGGUGCAUUUGCAUAUUUUUUUAUCUGAUAACAAUACCACACAUUCACAACGCCUAAUGAUUAAAUAUAUUUUUUAAUACUCGUAUCCUGGAGGAGCUAGAGCCAUUUCCCUUAAU